rnacentral:rRNA from 1 species
GUGGGGAAUAUUGCACAAUGGAGGAAACUCUGAUGCAGCGACGCCGCGUGGAGGAAGAAGGUUUUCGGAUCGUAAACUCCUGUUGUCGGGGACGAUAAUGACGGUACCCGACAAGAAAGUGACGGCUAACUACGUGCCAGCAGCCGCGGUAAAACGUAGGUCACAAGCGUUGUCCGGAAUUACUGGGUGUAAAGGGAGCGCAGGCGGGGAGAUAAGUUGGGAGUGAAAACUAUGGGCUCAACCCAUAAAUUGCUUUCAAAACUAGCUUUCUUGAGUAGUGCAGAGGUAGGCGGAAUUCCCGGUGUAGCGGUGGAAUGCGUAGAUAUCGGGAGGAACACCAGUGGCGAAGGCGGCCUACUGGGCACCAACUGACGCUGAGGCUCGAAAGUAUGGGUAGCGAACAGGAUUAGAUACCCGGGUAGUCC